AGAGUUUGAUCCUGGCUCAGGACGAACGCUGGCGGCGUGCCUAAUACAUGCAAGUCGAGCGAGCUUGCCUAGAUGAUUUUAGUGCUUGCACUAAAUGAAACUAGAUACAAGCGAGCGGCGGACGGGUGAGUAACACGUGGGUAACCUGCCCAAGAGACUGGGAUAACACCUGGAAACAGAUGCUAAUACCGGAUAACAACACUAGACGCAUGUCUAGAGUUUGAAAGAUGGUUCUGCUAUCACUCUUGGAUGGACCUGCGGUGCAUUAGCUAGUUGGUAAGGUAACGGCUUACCAAGGCAAUGAUGCAUAGCCGAGUUGAGAGACUGAUCGGCCACAUUGGGACUGAGACACGGCCCAAACUCCUACGGGAGGCAGCAGUAGGGAAUCUUCCACAAUGGACGAAAGUCUGAUGGAGCAACGCCGCGUGAGUGAAGAAGGGUUUCGGCUCGUAAAGCUCUGUUGUUGGAGAAGAACGUGCGUGAGAGUAACUGUUCACGCAGUGACGGUAUCCAACCAGAAAGUCACGGCUAACUACGUGCCAGCAGCCGCGGUAAUACGUAGGUGGCAAGCGUUAUCCGGAUUUAUUGGGCGUAAAGCGAGCGCAGGCGGUUGCUUAGGUCUGAUGUGAAAGCCUUCGGCUUAACCGAAGAAGUGCAUCGGAAACCGGGCGACUUGAGUGCAGAAGAGGACAGUGGAACUCCAUGUGUAGCGGUGGAAUGCGUAGAUAUAUGGAAGAACACCAGUGGCGAAGGCGGCUGUCUGGUCUGCAACUGACGCUGAGGCUCGAAAGCAUGGGUAGCCCACAAAAUUAGAUACCCUGGUAGUCCAUGCCGUAAAC
rnacentral:rRNA from 1 species